AUUUAUAUAAUAUAUUUAAUUAUAUUUGACUUCCAAUCAAAAAAACUAGAAAUCCUAGUAUAAAUA
rnacentral:tRNA from 1 species